GACGAACGCUGGCGGCGUGCUUAACACAUGCAAGUCGAACGGUAAGGCCCUUCGGGGUACACGAGUGGCAACGGGUGAGUAACACGUGGGUGAUCUGCCCUGCACUUCGGGAUAAGCCUGGGAAACUGGGUCUAAUACCGGAUAGGACCACUGCCUGCAUGGGUGGUGGUGGAAAGCUUUUGCGGUGUGGGAUGGGCCCGCGGCCUAUCAGCUUGUUGGUGGGGUGAUGGCCUACCAAGGCGACGACGGGUAGCCGGCCUGAGAGGGUGACCGGCCACACUGGGACUGAGAUACGGCCCAGACUCCUACGGGAGGCAGCAGUGGGGAAUAUUGCACAAUGGGCGCAAGCCUGAUGCAGCGACGCCGCGUGAGGGAUGACGGCCUUCGGGUUGUAGACCUCUUUCAGCAUCGACGAAGCGAAAGUGACGGUAGGUGCAGAAGAAGGACCGGCCAACUACGUGCCAGCAGCCGCAGUAA
rnacentral:rRNA from 1 species